AUGUCUCCAGAAACCCAGGACCCAGGAGCACCACCAGGCCUCUGUGAACAGAGUUCAGAUGCAACGGAGACAAAGCCCCUGGGCGCAUCCUUGUUACUCAUGGCCGAGACCCUUGACUGCACUGCAGUUAGCCCAGCCCUCCAGGUCGGAGGACUCUACCCCUUCCAGUCUGCUGUGGACAGGAGUCAGGUCACAGAGGGCAGCUGCAGGCCACGCCUGGGAGUGUGAGGGG
rnacentral:lncRNA from 1 species